UUGAAAGGGAAAACGAUUGAAGUCAGUCGUACCUAUGGGUAAUCAGCCUUUUGGGUGUGAUUUUGUGGAGCGUGAGGAGUUAGACGCCUUCAUGCCUGCAUAUUCGUGCACUUUGGGUGUACUUGCCCGUGUGUAAGUUAACAUCAAUUUUGGUGGUCAUAAAAUGGCUGGAGGAAUGUAGCUUCGAUCUUGUAUUGAAGUGUUAUAGCCUUCGGCAGAUGUGACGAUCGGGAUUGAGGAUUGCAACGGAUACUCUUCGGGGCUACCUGUCUGAUCUCUGAUUGUUGCUCUGGUGCCGAAAGCUUGCUUACGGUUAUCAAAGUCGAUGGUCAAUAGGUUAGAACGGGUUAAAUUCGUUAAGGAUGUUGACGUAAGUC
rnacentral:rRNA from 1 species